rnacentral:rRNA from 1 species
AGCAGUGGGGAAUUUUGGACAAUGGGCGCAAGCCUGAUCCAGCAAUGCCGCGUGAGUGAAGAAGGCCUUCGGGUUGUAAAGCUCUUUUGUCAGGGAAGAAACGGUGAGGGCUAAUAUCUCUUGCUAAUGACGGUACCUGAAGAAUAAGCACCGGCUAACUACGUGCCAGCAGCCGCGGUAAUACGUAGGGUGCAAGCGUUAAUCGGAAUUACUGGGCGUAAAGCGUGCGCAGGCGGUUUUGUAAGUUUGUCGUGAAAGCCCCGGGCUCAACCUGGGAAUUGCGAUGAAGACUGCAAGGCUUGAAUCUGGCAGAGGGGGGUAGAAUUCCACGUGUAGCAGUGAAAUGCGUAGAGAUGUGGAGGAACACCGAUGGCGAGCAGCCCCUGGGUCAGAUUGACGCUCAUG